rnacentral:rRNA from 1 species
GAUGAACGCUGGCGGCGUGCCUAAUACAUGCAAGUCGAGCGAACUGAUUAGAAGCUUGCUUCUAUGACGUUAGCGGCGGACGGGUGAGUAACACGUGGGCAACCUGCCUGUAAGACUGGGAUAACUUCGGGAAACCGAAGCUAAUACCGGAUAGGAUCUUCUCCUUCAUGGGAGAUGAUUGAAAGAUGGUUUCGGCUAUCACUUACAGAUGGGCCCGCGGUGCAUUAGCUAGUUGGUGAGGUAACGGCUCACCAAGGCAACGAUGCAUAGCCGACCUGAGAGGGUGAUCGGCCACACUGGGACUGAGACACGGCCCAGACUCCUACGGGAGGCAGCAGUAGGGAAUCUUCCGCAAUGGACGAAAGUCUGACGGAGCAACGCCGCGUGAGUGAUGAAGGCUUUCGGGUCGUAAAACUCUGUUGUUAGGGAAGAACAAGUACGAGAGUAACUGCUCGUACCUUGACGGUACCUAACCAGAAAGCCACGGCUAACUACGUGCCAGCCGCCGCUGUAAUAC